CCACUAGUAACGGCCGCCAGUGUGCUGGAAUUCGGCUUUAAUCCGACCUAGGCUCAUCUCAGAGUGUGAGGUCUUACGAUCCCCCACUUUGGUCUCUCGACGUCAUGCGGUAUUAAUCAGGGUUUCCCCUGGCUAUCCCCCGCUCUGAGGCAGAUCCCUAUGUAUUGCUCACCCGUCCGCCGCUCGCCGGCACCCUUGCGGGCCCGCUGCCGCUCGACUUGCAUGUGUUAAGCACGCCGCCAGCGUUCAAUCUGAGCCAGGAUCAAACUCUAAGCCGAAUUCUGCAGAUAUCCAUCACACUGGCGGCCGCUCGAGCA
rnacentral:rRNA from 1 species